UACGUAGGGUGCGAGCGUUAAUCGGAAUUACUGGGCGUAAAGCGUGCGCAGGCGGUUUUGCAAGCCGGAUGUGAAAUCCCCGGGCUCAACCUGGGAACUGCAUUUGUGACUGCAUAGCUAGAGUACGGUAGAGGGGGAUGGAAUUCCGCGUGUAGCAGUGAAAUGCGUAGAUAUGCGGAGGAACACCGAUGGCGAAGGCAAUCCCCUGGACCUGUACUGACGCUCAUGCACGAAAGCGUGGGGAGCAAACAGG
rnacentral:rRNA from 1 species